rnacentral:rRNA from 1 species
GAUGAACGCUGGCGGCGUGCUUAACACAUGCAAGUCGAACGAAGCACUUUAUUUGAUUUCCUUCGGGACUGAUUAUUUUGUGACUGAGUGGCGGACGGGUGAGUAACGCGUGGGUAACCUGCCUUGUACAGGGGGAUAACAGUUGGAAACGGCUGCUAAUACCGCAUAAGCGCACGGCAUCGCAUGAUGCAGUGUGAAAAACUCCGGUGGUAUAAGAUGGACCCGCGUUGGAUUAGCUAGUUGGUGAGGUAACGGCCCACCAAGGCGACGAUCCAUAGCCGACCUGAGAGGGUGACCGGCCACAUUGGGACUGAGACUCGGCCCAAACUCCUACGGGAGGCAGCAGUGGGGAAUAUUGCACAAUGGGCGAAAGCCUGAUGCAGCGACGCCGCGUGAGCGAAGAAGUAUUUCGGUAUGUAAAGCUCUAUCAGCAGGGAAGAUAAUGACGGUACCUGACGAAGAAGCACCGGCUAAAUACGUG